UAGCUCAGGGGUAGAGCAAUUGGCUUUUAACCUAGAGGUCGUAGGUUCAAAUCCUACCG
rnacentral:tRNA from 1 species